rnacentral:rRNA from 1 species
GCCCGGAAAGAAACCCCACCCCUACCCCCCAAUCUCGUCUGAUCUCAGAAGCUAAGCAGGAUCAGGCCUGGUUAGUACUUGGAUGGGAGACCACCCAGGAAUAUCGGGUGCUGUAGGCA